CGGGCUGUAAUAUAGUGGUAGUAUACAUGCAUGGGGUGCAUGCGGUCCGGGUUCGAUUCCCGGCAGCCCGA
rfam:Parcubacteria bacterium GW2011_GWA2_47_16 TX89_C0020, whole genome shotgun sequence.